rnacentral:rRNA from 1 species
UACAGAGGGUGCGAGCGUUAAUCGGAAUUACUGGGCGUAAAGGGCGCGUAGGCGGUAGAUUAAGAUAGAUGUGAAAUCCCUGGGCUUAACCUAGGAACUGCAUCUGUGACUGAAUUACUAGAGUAUUGUAGAGGGUAGUGGAAUUUCCGGUGUAGCGGUGAAAUGCGUAGAUAUCGGAAGGAACACCAGUGGCGAAAGCGACUUCCUGGUCCAAUACUGACGUUCAUGUGCGAAAGCGUGGGGAGCAAACAGG